UACGUAGGGCGCAAGCGUUGUCCGGAAUUAUUGGGCGUAAAGAGCUCGUAGGCGGCUUGUCACGUCGGGUGUGAAAGCCCGGGGCUUAACCCCGGGUCUGCAUUCGAUACGGGCUAGCUAGAGUGUGGUAGGGGGAGAUCGGAAUUCCUGGUGUAGCGGUGAAAUGCGCAGAUAUCAGGAAGAACACCCGUGGCGAAGGCGGCUCUCUGGGACGGUACUGACGCUGAGACGCGAAAGCGUGGGGAGCGAACAGG
rnacentral:rRNA from 1 species